GGUGAAAAGCACCCCGGAAGGGGAGUGAAAUAGAACCUGAAACCGUGUGCUUACAAGUAGUCAGAGCCCGUUAAUGGGUGAUGGCGUGCCUUUUGUAGAAUGAACCGGCGAGUUACGAUUUGAUGCAAGGUUAAGCAGUAAAUGUGGAGCCGUAGCGAAAGCGAGUCUGAAUAGGGCGUUUAGUAUUUGGUCGUAGACCCGAAACCAGGUGAUCUACCCUUGGUCAGGUUGAAGUUCAGGUAACACUGAAUGGAGGACCGAACCGACUUACGUUGAAAAGUGAGCGGAUGAACUGAGGGUAGCGGAGAAAUUCCAAUCGAACCUGGAGAUAGCUGGUUCUCUCCGAAAUAGCUUUAGGGCUAGCCUCAAGUGAUGAUUAUUGGAGGUAGAGCACUGUUUGGACGAGGGGCCCCUCUCGGGUUACCGAAUUCAGACAAACUCCGAAUGCCAAUUAAUUUAACUUGGGAGUCAGAACAUGGGUGAUAAGGUCCGUGUUCGAAAGGGAAACAGCCCAGACCACCAGCUAAGGUCCCAAAAUAUAUGUUAAGUGGAAAAGGAUGUGGCGUUGCCCAGACAACUAGGAUGUUGGCUUAGAAGCAGCCAUCAUUUAAAGAGUGCGUAAUAGCUCACUAGUCGAGUGACACUGCGCCGAAAAUGUACCGGGGCUAAACAUAUUACCGAAGCUGUGGAUUGUCCUUUGGACAAUGGUAGGAGAGCGUUCUAAGGGCGUUGAAGCAUGAUCGUAAGGACAUGUGGAGCGCUUAGAAGUGAGAAUGCCGGUGUGAGUAGCGAAAGACGGGUGAGAAUCCCGUCCACCGAUUGACUAAGGUUUCCAGAGGAAGGCUCGUCCGCUCUGGGUUAGUCGGGUCCUAAGCUGAGGCCGACAGGCGUAGGCGAUGGAUAACAGGUUGAUAUUCCUGUACCACCUAUAAUCGUUUUAAUCGAUGGGGGGACGCAGUAGGAUAGGCGAAGCGUGCGAUUGGAUUGCACGUCUAAGCAGUAAGGCUGAGUAUUAGGCAAAUCCGGUACUCAUUAAGGCUGAGCUGUGAUGGGGAGAAGACAUUGUGUCUUCGAGUCGUUGAUUUCACACUGCCGAGAAAAGCCUCUAGAUAGAAAAUAGGUGCCCGUACCGCAAACCGACACAGGUAGUCAAGAUGAGAAUUCUAAGGUGAGCGAGCGAACUCUCGUUAAGGAACUCGGCAAAAUGACCCCGUAACUUCGGGAGAAGGGGUGCUCUUUAGGGUUAACGCCCAGAAGAGCCGCAGUGAAUAGGCCCAAGCGACUGUUUAUCAAAAACACAGGUCUCUGCUAAACCGUAAGGUGAUGUAUAGGGGCUGACGCCUG
rnacentral:rRNA from 1 species